UACGUAGGGGGCAAGCGUUGUCCGGAUUUAUUGGGCGUAAAGAGCGUGUAGGCGGCCAUACAGGUCCGUUGUGAAAACUGGAGGCUUAACCUCCAGACGUCGAUGGAAACCGUAUGGCUAGAGUCCGGAAGAGGAGAGUGGAAUUCCUGGUGUAGCGGUGAAAUGCGCAGAUAUCAGGAGGAACACCGGUGGCGAAGGCGGAUCUCUGGGCCUUACCUGACGCUGAGGCGCGAAAGUGUGGGGGGAUCAAACAGG
rnacentral:rRNA from 1 species